CCUCAAGAGUGCUUGAAUUAGUUAGGUAUUUUGUAAUUCCUGCUUGUUUGGCAUAGGUGUGUAAAAAGAUAUAAAGGUGUAUAAAACAAAGAUAAGUACCCGGAAAGAUUCAGAUGAUGGACCUGCAGCCUACCUCAGCUACAAAUGCAAAAGGGCACAAUGGGCCAGGGCCACUCAGGAGCUUGCCCUUAUCUGAACAAGCCAGAACGGACUGGUACCAACCACAAAAGAAGAAAGUUUAUGGACCAGCCUGCUCUUGAUGCACAAAAAGGUGUACAUAUACAUCAGGAUUAGCUGUUGGAGACUUGUAAUAGAUGUAGAGAGUUUUUCAGGCAUCUUACCUUCAGGGGAAGCAAUUUGGGGAUUCUAGACUUCAGUUUGGUAAGUGUGGGGCUCCUGAACAUCUGCUCUAAAAUGUCUAUUGGAUAUUACAAAAUUGUUUUAUUUAGAGACAAUUUCUGUGAAGGGGGUAAAGAAUACCAGAAGCCAACCAUCUGAAACAGUGGUACUUUUCUGCAAUUCAUUGCUGUGCGUCAGGUGCCCUGUGGCUCUUUUGAGGAAACAAAAGAAAUUGAUGGCAGCUGGGAUGUUGCUGCUCACAAUUGCACAAUGAACUGUUGCCAGAGAAAAGUAAACAGCUCUCACUUGUGCACACCCUGGAGAGAAGUUUUGUUGGUCAUUGCAUGAUGCUGGAUAUCAAGUUGCAGCUGGAGUAUUGUUACUGCUGUUCAUUUUCCAAUUUUUUUACCCAGCUGUUCACUAAAUUAACCUUAAUAGAGUUAAACUGUGAGUCCUGCCAGAGGAUGGUGCAGAUGCUUGUAUUGAUUUGAGAGAUCUGGAACAGAUUCAUAGGAAAAAUUUGUACCCUGGGCUCUGAGAUACAAAGCUAGUAACUUAAGAUCAGGACUGUUUGAACCAUUCUUAAAGCUUGUCCCAUUUGGUCACACUGAGAAACAUGGUGCUGGGCUGUAUGGGGCUCUGACCAGUUCCAAUGCAGCUGCUCUUAUUUUACAUCCUCCUCUCCCCUAAAAAGCCUGCUGCCUUCCUGUCUCACAGUGAGCAAAGUGUGAAACAGCCCCCAAGACCAGCACGCUGCUUGGUGGUUGCCAAAUGGUGUCUGCAAUGUGUCACCUCACAGCUGAGGUGCACCAGCAGGUAUCUGUUUGGGGAUCCCAGGAUCUUUAAGAUCCAUCAGUAAAAUAUCUCUAGGCCCAUAUUAGAUUGUAGGACAGCCACUGUGUGACCCUAGAUACCCGAAAUUUAUCUGCAUGCCCGUUUGAUCUGUAAUGUCAAAACUGAAGUAAAUACCCAAAACCAGCACUUUGAAGAGAGAACUCAUUCCCUUCUCACUGUCUCUUGUAUUCUAUUUAGUUAAUGCUCUUUGUAUUUCCAGUGAACCUGGGAUGAUUUUAGUUGGGUUAGUUAGAGUUUUGAUGUCUUCAGAAUUUAUGAGGCACUCAGCUUUAGACCACAAAAAGAAAAUAAGUCAAAACCAGUCACAAAGCUGUCAGUUCACAGCUCAUUCCAUCUCAUCCAUCUUUCACUUCUCAUUUAUUUUUGUGGUAGUAUUUCCCACAGCAGAAAUCCCCAGUCUGAGUGCAUGGUUUAGGUACCUCUCCUAUUCAAGCUAUCACAGAUUCACCCCAAACCCCACUCAGACAAAACCAUGAUGGGAAUGGCACCUGCAGAGUAACCACUGAGCUUGCAGGCAGCUGUGUGAAGCAUCCCAGUGCUCUCAUGGGAGCAUCCUGUAUCUGUAAAGCUCUGGACACCCACGUCAGUGCUUCUGCCUACAGGUUGUACAGGCUAAGAAACACUGGUGUAUUUAUUGACAAGUGUAAAGGGGACAUAACUCAAAAUCCCCUGAUUUUGUGGGAUAUGUAGUAGGACCCAGCUAGCACUUUUCAAGUAAAUGUUAUUCUGACGCAUAAACAAAUUUGACUCCUCUUUCAGCCCUCCAUAUGGCUUUCCUUAGUGUACAGAAACAUCCUCUUCCUUCAUCUGAGCUGUGUACAGCCUCACAUGCAUUGCACAGCAAGGCUGCACCUUCAGGUCUAGAGAAGAGCUGCCCUCUGGAGAAACACUGCUGGCCAUCUCCCCUGCUCCAGAAGAAGGGGGUCCUGCCCCAGAGCCUCCACCUACUAUCAGCACAUGGUUUGAAGGUGCAGUGCUUCCCACACCAAGAAGAAGGCAAGGUGUGCAAGGGUCUCUGAGGCCACCAGCAAGACAGGACGAGGUUGAUGAACUCUGAAAAGAUAAGAGUGUCUUUUGGUGGGCACUUGGCCUUCAGCCAGAGUCAGCUGGACACAAUCUCUUUAUAAAGCUCAAGCUUGUGGGUGUGAUUAGAUGAGACCUCCGAACAUGAGCUCUAUACAAGGGCUGGUGAGAGGGGAAAGAGACUUUCCUAUUUAACUCAAUGACAGGUUCCAGUACUCUCUGAGGACAUUGGAAACUGGCUUUGAUUGCCAGCACUCCAGCUAAAUUAAACAGUGUUUUACGAUACUUAGGAUUAGGCUUCCUCACCCAGGAGAGUGUGAUGCUCCUGAGUACAGCACAUCACCUUCCUGGGUGAGCCAGCCCACCACACCAUGUGAAAUGAAACACUUCUGCGAUGAGGACUGGAAAAGAUGCUCUGCCAGAGACUACUGUAACAGCAGGUGGGAGGUACUGUUCUCACUGAGCAGCCUCAGGAAGCGAACUGUGACCACCCACUCCAUUGGGGAUGAGCUGUAAAUACCAGGUUUUGGCCAAAAAAGAUAAUUCCUAUCUCCUUGCUAAACAGCUGUUGAUUUAGUAGGAUAAGGGCAAGUGUAGGAUUCCAGAAGCAGCUUGUCCUUGUGUACAACAAAAUCCCAUCCUAUACAGCCUCACAGUGUUCACAGGAAAACUAGCAGUGUUUACUUACCACCCUUCAUCGCAGGAAACUAUGCAUGAAUGCAAGCACGGGAAGCUGCAUUUUAAAUGUUAAAAUAUGCUUUAAAAGCUCUGUAUCAACUAUACUUUUUCAAACUAGAAGAAAACCAACAAGAAUAAUACAAUGCAAGAAAAAAUUAAAUUACAUUUUUCUCUUUUCCCUUCAUAAAUCACACUCUUCUGAAGUCCAGCAGUAAUACAUUAAAAUGUUUUUCACCAGUGGCAUUUUGCACAUCAGGAAGAGAUCAUAAUUUUAUUCUGAAUUGGCAUUUGCAUAUUCAGUUAGUGAAAUCUAUUUCCUCUCAUGAUUAAGCAUGCUGUAUAAUUGAUAUUCUUCUUCCCUGUAGUGUGACACAGCAUGUGACUCAAAACUUGCCUUCAUAAAGAUUCUCAUGAAUGCUAAAGAACAGCACAUGCAGAAAAAUAUGUUGCAUUCCCAUAUGCUCAGGCUGGAGGAAAAUAGCUGUAGUGCUCCCUAACUUAGUUUUUUUCAGAGGACUUUUUUCAGAGGACUGGGUGGUAGCUUUGAUCUGAGACAGAAAUAUUUGCCAUGAAAUACCAAGAAAGUUGUCUCCACUUGUAACUUUGAGAGUUUGAAGAAUGUUGAGGAAAGUGACCUGAUCAGGCUGAGUAUGUGUCAGUUUCUUGUAAGGACAGCAGCUCCAAAGACUGUUUUAGGCUUCUUUUUCAUGGUUUUUGUUGGGAGUGGUUUUUAAAUACUGAAUUUGCUUUAGGAAAUGAGCCAAACUUAUACUUAGAGAGUUGCUCCAAAAGUGCACAGCCAUCCCCGUGAGGUUUUUGCCCUGUACAGAAUAUGGAAAACAAGAGCAGAGCGCUCUAUUUCAUCAAGCAUUUAGAGAGGUAUCACAUGCCCAGCCGCCUUCUCCCUGAAUCUUCCACCCUAACCCAGACUCUUCAAACUUUUGCUAAUUGAAAAGUAAGCCCCUGGCAAGUAUAAAAUUUUAAUAAUAACCCACCUGAGACGUCCAGUGAAGAAGAAAAGUUUCUAAAGAAAUUGAAUCUGAGGAAAGGAUAAUUGCUGAAGCAACCCCUGGAGUAGGUGAAAACUUUUGCAAACCAGGACCCAGGUGCUGACCCAGGCUUGGAAGCAACUCUGCAGUGCAAUGCAUUCUUCACAGGCCUGUGCCUACCAGCCCUCAAUGUCAGCUGUAUGUGUUUCUCCACUUUUUAGCAAGCCUUAAUUUCUUAUUCAGAUCAAUUUCUCUAAUUCUAAAAUGAUUCAUAAUACCAGGCAAUGUCAUUAUAUUACAAGACAGCUUAAUUUACAAGUUCAUUCCAUGCCAAGAGCAAGGCAGCAGAAUCCCUAAUUCUAAAUAAGAUCUAUUUUAUGCCAAAUAUCCUUGCCAAAGCACUCUAAUGAGCUGGCACCAAAUGGUUUCACAGGAACAUCCUACUUGUCAGCAGUGUUUUGUGUUUUCCAGGCAUUACUGGUGCUGUAUGCCAACUCUUCUUCUUCCUGCAUGUGAUUGUCAGUUUGUGCUACCCUUCUCCAAGUAGUAAGCAUGUGAAUUUCCUCUCUCAGCCACUACACACAUUUAAAAAGCAGGUCACUUCAGUAUAUUGUACUUCAGCUUUGUUAUGUCUGGAAAUAUUUAACACUACUAUUAAAUAUUUAUAUAUUGAAGCAGUUCUGUGACUGAUAGACAAAGUGGUCAGUGUUGGAGUCUGAAUCAUAAAUACCAAAAUAACACCUCUCAUUCCUACACAGACAGGAGAAAAUGUGGGAUUCAAUUGCUUCAGGUGCUUACAUUAAUUAUCCUGAAGACUGCUUAGCCCAAAUGCUCUUUGCCUGUGAAAAAGACACUUACUGGCCUAGUAGGAGCUGAGAAUAGAAUAUUUUAAAGCCUCUCUUGAUAAGUAUUUUCCUCUAAGGAGGGACCAAAAAAUUAAACCAAAACACUGUUUUAUCUCUUUUAUUUAGUCAUAGUCAGACAAAUUCUAAACUAGUUUCUUACAAAACUGCCAUCAGAAGAAAUUUUCCCUAAGAAGUAACAGAAUAAACUCCAGAAGAAUCCCAGUGUCUCUCCCCAUUGCCAGCAAAUACAACACAUCCCUGUGGUAGCAAAACACACAUCCCAGUGUUUUAACAUUACAGGUAUUGUUACUCAUGAGUAGUUGCACACAGUAAUUGGUAUGUUUUGUACCGUAUUGCCAUCCACAAACAUUGGCAGCUGAGUAUUACAAAGCAUUUUAAAAGGAGAAACAAGGAGCGAGAAAUCAUUUAUUUGGAUGAAGGGAGGAUGUGUUUCCUCACACCUGCCCCAACUGAAGAACUUCCUACUGGGACAGAUCAUGUCUCUAGAGGUACAAUAAAAAGCCAGCAAAGCUGGGGAAGCAGCACACCAGUACUUGGCUCCUAAGCUCUGUGAAAGGCAGGCACUCACACCACCCAGAAACCUGCUACUUCUGCUCAUCAGCCAGCACUUGGGCCUGAGCAAGUUACUUGCUGGCUGGGGGUGGAACUGGCUUCUGCUGAUGUAAAGAAAAUUCAGUUAAUGCAGGUAGAACAUGAUAUGAUUUCAAAAGGGUGGAAGCAAUUAAAGAACCUUAUUUACUCCUCCUUGUGGUUCUGUUGUGUCUGUGUUUUAGUAGAGUCCCUUACUCCAGAUCAUUGCUUUGUGCAGUGAUGUUCGUCAGCACUAAUGCCCUUUGCUGUAAAGCACCUACUUCUUCCCUCAGCUUCAUUAAUUGCUAUAAUGGACAACUUUCCCUCUGAAGAUCCACCUUGUCUUUCACUUCCCUGCUCAACAAAGCCUUGUACUGAAUGGCUGAUGAACUCAUGUCUAAUUAGCUGCAAGGCAAGGAUGAAGUAUGAAUUUAGAAAACCAAAAGGCAAGUUGUAAGGUUGGAGACUUCUAUUUAACAGACUUUAGUGUCAAGAUUUUAUCCUUGAAGGCACAGAGGUAGAAAUUGUGAGUAACCAGAAGGCUGCUCUCUCCAGAAGAACUUUAUGCAGUUUCUGAUCAAGGUCUCUCAUAUCUCUGCUAUGAUGGAAAGGGGUUAUUUUUAAUAAUUAAUAAUUUAAAAUAAAUUUCAAUGAAGCUGCAGCAGUGCUGUCUUCAUGCUUUCUGUAAUUCUGAAUGGCCAGCCUAAGAACAGCUGGUGAGAAUUUUUUGUGAAUCUACUACAAAACACUGCUAGUCUUGCUUUAACAAAAUAUAAGAAAAAUGAAGAAAGAGGUCUGUUUUCUUGCAGAUUGGAAGACAAUUUAUAUUCCUGUGAUUUAUUAAGCUUGUGGCUUUGAUGGGGGUUUUUUAUGCUUUAAUAUUUUAUGCACAUUGCUAUUAAAUGUCAUGAAUAUUGCUAUGAAACAUAAUGAAUAUUAUAAAAUAUGGGGUCUGAACAAUUCAUGAAAUGCAGCAUACAAUUUCAUGACAACUGGGCAUGUGUUGUCUUGGAGUAUGCCCAACUUAGAACAUAUUUCACUGAGAUCUUAAUUAUUUUCAUUAUACACUGGCAUCUAUAUUUUAUGAAAACCUCAGGGAGUCUUUUUAAAAUACUUUAGAUAUUUCAUGAAAAUUGCUGAAUAUGAGAGGAGAACUUCUUUGGCUGAAAGUUAUGUUUUCACAGAACUUUUUUUAAUUAUAUAGAUGAAAAAUACUUCUUCAUUUUAGAAAAUGAAGCAGUGAUACUCACUCAUCUUGUUUUUCCACGUCUUUUUGUUUAUGGUGAGAUUUUCUUUGGUUGUAACAUGGAUAACCCCUCAUCUUUCUCUUUCCUACCUUGCAAGGUCCUGAAAACAACCUUGAAAACACUCUGCUGUGGACAGGGAUGCCUCUCACUAGACCAGCUUGCUCAAUGAUCCAUCCAGCCUGGCCUUGAACACUGCCAGGGAUGAGGCAUCCACAACUACUCUGGGAAACAUUUUCCAGUGUCUCAGCACCCUCACAGUAAAGAAUUUUGUUCACAUAUUUCUAACCUUAAUUUCUCCUCUUUCAGUGGGGACCCAUUAUUCCUUGUCCUAUUACUUCAGUGCCUGAUGAAGAGUCCUUCUCUGGCUUCCCUGUAGGUCUCCUUCAGGUAUUGGAAGGUUGCUAUGAGGUGUCCAUGCAACCUUCUCCAGACUGAGCAGUCCUAACUUUCUUAGCCUGUCCCCAUAGGACAGUUGCCCAAUUCCUUAUCAACUUCGUGGCCCACCUCUGGACUUCAGCUACUUACUAUAUGUUGUUCAAUCAUUUCCUCCUUUGAUUCUUCUCUCAUUCUUGUUCAGAAUUGCAAAGAAGGAGAAAAAUGUGCUUGACAGCACAAAUGGCUCAUGUUGUAUUACUGUGAAAAGCAGGCAGACUAACAUGAACUUUGUAUUUGGAUGACUAAAAGAUGCAGUGUCCCACACCCUUCAGUUAAGAGAAGUUUGCAUCUUUUUUUGCAUCAUUUCCUAGACUGGAAACAAAAUUUGUUUCCCCACUUUGUUUUCCACUAGUAUGCCACCAUGUGAUCAGGAGUCCUCUCUGUGUGCUCCCAUGGCGUAUGGCCAGCAGGGGCAGGUGGAUGAUUUUUUGUGGUGGGCCAUUGAUCAAGGAGAGCUGACCGUCAGCAGAAACAGUUCCCAUCACUUCAGCAGGAAAGGGAAGGAGAGCUUGCAGAGGAUGUUGGCAGGGGAAUGCUUGGGAAGGCCAUGGAAGAAAUGUCAUGCUUUGAAUGCCUGCAGGAAGUAAGCUAACAAUUGCUUGGUGGUUUCCACUUGCAGACUGUAUCCAGUGUUAAAAAGCACAGAUGUACUUGUUCAAGAAGGCAAAUGGAAACUCAGUGAGACACAGGCAGAUUGAUUCCCUCACAGAAUGCUGCUGGCAUGAAAGGGUACAUCUCGAUGUAGCAAAGCAGAUGAGAAGGGAAUGCUGCCUGGCAGUGUUACAGGUGUACCUUCAGUGUAUCCUGCUGAUAGGUACAAAGUUCAUUCACCAGUUAUAAUAACCCCUGUAGGAUUCCCUUGUAGAAUUACUUUGCUAGGCAAUUAAAUGCUCUAUCACUCUGGCACAACUCUGACUCAUCUGUCAUAUGUGGCAUCUCAACAACCUAAUGAAAAAAGUGAAUCAAACUGCUUUGAAUGAUGCUUUGCUUCUAGACUGGUCCAUAAAAUUGCUUCACUGUAAGGUUCUAUAACCCUAAAUCUAGCAAGCGGCACACUAAUAAUGCUCUCAGGGUAGAUAUGUUGGCUGCCAAUGCAGUCUGAUCUUGGACCUCUCUCUCAUCAGCCCUGUGCACAAGAAGCUGUCCUCAGUUCUGAGGGCCUGGCUUUGUCAGCAGCUGAGAGAGGCUCACUGUGGGCUGCUCUCUGAUGAAAUGCCACCCAGUUUGUCACAACAACAAUGAAAGUGCUGCUGGACAUCUGGGCUCUGCCCAGCUUCCUAUGGCAAUGACACUUAGUAAUGCUGUGUAUGUUCUCAGUAAUCAAUAUAAAAAUUGUUUCAUGUCAAGUUAGAGAUGGUAGGUUCCUACAGGUUUCACAAAAGUAUGCAGAGGAGAUGGAGGGGGACCUUUCAUAAGCACCCCUAGUGAAUGAAAGGCCAAACACACAUCAGGUGCUGGUUAUCGCAUAGAGGAGAAAAUACAUCCUGAAUAUCCUAUUGCCAUAGUGUAAAACAUGGCUAGUGUUAUCAAAUCAUCAGAGGGUCCAGCUAGGAGAUUCAAAUCUGCAGGUAACUAAUUUCUUUUUGGUUUUGCUAUUCAUGAAACCUGCUAUUUUUCUGCUUUUAUUUUUCUUUAGAUAUUCUACAAUUUUCUUUUACCUUGCUGGUUAAUAAAAUGGGCUAACUCCCUUGGUUCGUGUACCCCUUCAUGGGAUACUUCACAAGUCCAGUUGGAACCUUCCCAACUUCUCCAAAGUCACAGAAGUCUGACCUUUGCUGGCUGACACAGUGCUGGAACACCACUGUUCCUGCUGAAGCCAGUGAUACGCAGGUUUGCCAUGUAAACAAAACUGGUUUCUAGUCUGUGAAAAAAGGACAGUAGGAGCUUUAUAAUGUCAAGGUGAGAGCCAUGCAACAUAGCUUCAGAAACUAUUCCACCUGGACCAGGCAGAAAUCUCCAGAGCAAGAGCAGGGAGCAUACAGAAGGUGGCCAUUGAGUAGCCACAAUAGUUACCUGAGUAAUUUACACUGAGAAAAUUUAAAAUAAAAUACUCUGGUGCUACAAUAAUGUUUCUUUUUAGCGAAGUUAAAUAGCCACUAAGCAUAUGAUAGAUUGACAAGAAAAAUAUGAUAUAUCCUUUGUAAAUCUGUUUUCUUAACAUUAUUUGUUCUCUGAAAGAACAGAGGAUCACAAUUUUGCUGCACUAUGGUGAUAACUUUGCAUGUUAAAAAUGAAGUAUGUGCAUCUAAGGCUUGGAUAAAAAGUGACUGAGAUGAUUUUCUUGAUUAGUAUCAUCAUAGAUGGACAUCUAUGUCACAGGAACUGUUAAAUGCAGUUAAAGAUUCUGGAGUUCUUUUGUAAAAAGUCUUCCAUUUUCUACCAAAAGUGCAAACAUAUAUAUAUUUUUUUAUAUUAACAGCUAAUUCUUAAUACUGUAACGGUGCUACAAAUAAAAGUGAAAUAAAA